rnacentral:rRNA from 1 species
GUGCCAGACUCCUACGGGAGGCAGCAGUGGGGAAUAUUGCACAAUGGGGGAAACCCUGAUGCAGCAACGCCGCGUAGGUGAAGGAGCAUUUCGGCGCGUAAAGCCCUGUCAGCGGGGAAGAAGAAAGACGGUACCCGACCAAGAAGCCCCGGCUAACUACGUGCCAGCAGCCGCGGUAAUACGUAGGGGGCGAGCGUUAUCCGGAAUUACUGGGUGUAAAGGGAGCGUAGACGGCGAGGUAAGCCUGAAGUGGAAGCCCGCGGCCCAACCGCGGAACUGCUUUGGGAACUGUGCAGCUAGAGUGCAGGAGAGGUAAGUGGAAUUCCUAGUGUAGCGGUGAAAUGCGUAGAUAUUAGGAGGAACACCAGUGGCGAAGGCGGCUUACUGGACUGUAACUGACGUUGAGGCUCGAAAGCGUGGGGAGCAAACAGGAUUAGAUACCCCGGUA